rnacentral:lncRNA from 10 species
AGUAAACGUUUUUGAGUACCACCCCUUGUGUGUUGUGAGGGAAGGUGACAUAUAAUCAAGUCCCAGUGGUGUUCGGUGGCAUUAUAAGAGCCAGGAGUAAUAAAAAAAAUCAGAAAUAUUCCAUUCACAUUGCAUUUGAAUUCUGUGCUCCAAACUCAUAAUCUGAUGUCCCAUCCAAAUUACUGUUUGAUGGAGAUUAUUAACUUAAUUUGCCAAUUUUUGAUGUAUUUGGCUUUGGGAAUUCCAAAGCUAAGAAGUAUUUUUCUGCCAGAAAGCCCGCAGGUGGAAUAGAAGUCUGGGAGGCAACACCAGCAGCAACAGCAGCAGUAGCUGUGACAACUGUAAGGCCCAUGAGCACAGCUAUUAAAGUAAAUAUGAAUCUGCUU